rnacentral:rRNA from 1 species
UAAAAGCCAUAAAAACUUUUAGCAACGGAUCUCUUGGCUCUAGCAUCGAUGAAGAACGCAGCAAAAUGCGAUAAGUAAUGCGAAUUGCAGAUUUCAGUGAGUCAUCGAGUUUUUGAACGCAUAUUGCGCCUGCUGGCUAUUCUAGCAGGCAUGCCUGUUCGAGCGUCAUUUA